CCCUUAGAUGUCUUGGGCCGCACGCGCGUUACACUGAUGCAUUCAACGAGCUUAUAACCUUGGCCGAGAGGCCUGGGCAAUCUUGUUAACGUGCAUCGUGAUAGGGAUAGAUUAUUGAAAUUAUUAAUCUUGAACGAGGAAUUCCUAGUAAACGCAGAUCAUCAAUCUGCAUUGAUUACGUCCCUGCCCUUUGUACACACCGCCCGUCGCACCUACCGAUUGGAUGGUCCGGUGAAGCCUCGGGAUUGUGGUUCUUGCCGCUUUAUUGUGGCGUGACCGCGAGAACUUGUCUAAACCUUAUCAUCUAGAGGAAGGUGAAGUCGUAACA
rnacentral:rRNA from 1 species